rnacentral:pre_miRNA from 1 species
AGAUGAAUAACAGUGUGAUUCUCCAUUGGCAGGAUGAAUAACAGUAUAGUAGUGUCCAUGCCUGAUGCUAUAUAUGUGAUAUGUCUGCCAAGGGAGAAUUGCCCUGCUAUUCACCC